rnacentral:lncRNA from 1 species
AUGACCAGGUCUUUUUCUCUGACUUGUCAAGGGAAACAAGAUGGUGGAGACACUUCACAUGCUCCUCUGGAGGGAACUACAACCAAGAGCUGUGAUAACAUCAGACACUUUGCAAAUCCAACAAAACUAAUUUCUAUUUCAAAAUAUAUUCUAUGCCAAAGUAACAUGAGAAAAACAAACAAUAAAAACAACAAUAAAGUUGCAAAAACACUCAGAAGAGGGCUGCACUUGGUUCCAAAACAGAAGUGAUAUAAUUGCAAGACAUGCUCAGACAUGCAAGCUAUUUGCUCCAAACAGCUGCACAGAGGAGAAGCCAGUCGCACCCUUUAUGGACCCAAGUAUUCCUAAAUCCAGCGCCAUGAUUCGUCACAUCACAACCAAGCUGAGAAUGCGAACCCCCAACAUGCCCUUCUUAGCCCAAGCUCAGCUGAAACUCAGCUGAAAAAUGUGCCAUCAACAUGGGGAACAUUUUGACAGGUGGGAAACAAAACAACUUAUAUAUCCAUCAACAGACGAACAGAUACAGAAAAUGUGGUCUUUAUACACAAUGGAGUAGUACUGUGCCAUAAAGCAGGAUAAACUUGAGGCAUCUGAAGUUGAUAACCCUCAAGACCAUAAUGUUAUGUGAAAUAAAUCAGACACACGAGUUUAGAUAUCGCACAGUUUCUCUUAUAUGAGAAAUCCAAAAUAUAAAUCAAGAGCAAAAUAAAGGAUACAUAAUAGCUAAAUGGAGAGAUCUUUUUCAAAUGGGAAGGGGAACAAGUGGAGAGGGGGAAGGAAGAAAGGGAAAAAGGACUUAAAAAAAGAGUCAGAAGGGCUGGGGAUUUAGCUGAAUGGUUCCACCGCCUGCCUCUUAAGUGAAAGGUUCUGAGUUUGAUCCCCAGUACCAAAAACAAAAGAAAGAAAGAAAAAAUGGAAGCAGCUUUUUCAAGUCUGAAGGGGAUCAAGAGCUGGAGAGAGCAGAGAGGGGCGGGAGGGAG